rnacentral:rRNA from 1 species
UCUGGUGAUUAAGGCGAAGAGGUCACACCCGUUCCCAUGCCGAACACGGAAGUUAAGCUCUUCAGCGCCGAUGGUAGUUGGGGGUUUCCCCCUGUGAGAGUAGGACGUCGCCAGGC